GCCGAUGUAGCUCAGCUGGUAGAGCAAUGCUUUCGUAAAGCAGAGGUCGUGGGUUCGAAUCCCACCAUCGGCU
rnacentral:tRNA from 1 species